rnacentral:rRNA from 1 species
AUCCUGGCUUAGGAUGAACGCUAGCUACAGGCUAACACAUGCAAGUCGAGGGGCAGCAUUGGAGUAGCAAUACUCAGAUGGCGACCGGCGCACGGGUGAGUAACACGUAUCCAACCUGCCGCUUAACUCGGGGGAUAGCCUUUCGAAAGAAAGAUUAAUACCCGAUGGUAUAAAGAGUUCGCAUGUUCUCUUUAUUAAAGAAUUUCGGUAAGCGAUGGGGAUGCGUUCCAUUAGAUAGUUGGCGGGGUAACGGCCCACCAAGUCUACGAUGGAUAGGGGUUCUGAGAGGAAGGUCCCCCCACAUUGGAACUGAGACACGGUCCAAACUCCUACGGGAGGCAGCAGUGAGGAAUAUUGGUCAGUGGACGAGAGUCUGAACCAGCCAAGUAGCGUGAAGGAUGACUGCCCUAUGGGUUGUAAACUUCUUUUAUAAGGGAAUAAAGUGAGGGACGUGUCCCUUUUUGUAUGUACCUUAUGAAUAAGGAUCGGCUAACUCCGUGCCAGCAGCAGC